GCGCUGAAGUACCCUGAGGGUGCUGGGCAGGUGUCCUGGCCCUGGCAGAGGUGCUGGGAGUGCAGGGGUGUUCCGCCAGUGCGUGGGCACCUUCAAUUGGCUGCACAUGACGUUUACUUCAAUGAUACAGGCAAGUGCCGAGAACUUUUAAAAGCUCUGUUACAUGGCUGAACUUGAACUUUUGGAUGGGUGCGGAGGGAAGGGUGAAAUAGCAAUGGCUGACAUUUAUUGAGUGUGCAAUGGCUGACAUUUAUUGAGUGUGCAGGUGGUUUCUAGGGUUUUGCAGCCACCCUGCACUGCACGCAGGUCCUGUUGUUGGGUCCCUGUGUGCUGAGGAGAGGGAUAGGAAGGGCGGCUAGUUUGCUCAGGGUCACACAGCUGAGAAGAGGGGCACUGCUGGCCCUCCCCUAGGCCCACCCCUGUUCUCAGUCCCCCAAGGCCUUCAGGUAAUACUGUACACAGGACUGUCACACAGGCUCAACGAAGCCCUGCAUUUUUGUGGGCAAAUUUCAUGUAAAUUCUUUCCUUAGCUGGUCUUGAGAAAAAGUAAAUCACUUUCUGUUUAUUCCAUUUUCACCUUUUUUGUAAGAACAUAAUAGCAAUGACAGGAAAGUGUCACAUAUAGUUUCACUUUUAUUGGAGAAAAUGUGACAUUUUCCACUCAAUUCAAAACCCGAGCAGUUGGGAGCUUUUACUGGAGUGUGUUCUUUCCCUUCUCUGUCCCCCCCCCCACCCCCUGUGUGGGCAACCCCAUGCUCAGGGUGUACUGACUCUCACUGGAGAAGUGGGGUCCUCUUGUAUGUUGACAUGAGCAUUCAGUGUCCAGCCGGACAGGCCCUGGGCAUUCACACAGCAGUUUGGUUCUGCAGGGGGAGUGUUGAAACAAAGAACAGGAAAAGCAAUUCUGUGCAGAGAGAGUUUGGUUUAUUUUUCUAAAAAUACAGCUGACCCAUCCACUCUUAACCCUGGCAGAUGCCUCCUGUGGUUCAGAGACUGUUCUUUUUGCUUCCUCUUUCAGAUCCUUGCAAUGCUGAUUAAGUUGACUAGGGUGAUUAGAAAACAAAAACCCUGGGCAAUUGUAGGCAAUGAGCAAGAGAAGAGUGGACAGGCCUGCUGGGUGAAGCUGGCCUUUCCAGUUCCCCCUUCUUUGUCUUCCUUCCCUGGGGUGUGUGAAUCAGAAAAAGGUGACCUUUGCACCUUGGGCAUUGUCAGCUAUAGCUCCUCUAUCAGGAGGGUAGUCAACUAGAGCGCCACAGAGCUCCAACUCAGUGGGCAUUCAUAUGUAUGGAAUUGAGUUGUUUGGGGGUUUAUUUGCUCUUGAUAGUGUUGCUGUUUCUGGGCCUCUGUUUAAUGGGUGACUUUGUGGCCUGGGGGAGGGGAGUUCACUCUUUGUAACCUCCUGAUUCAUGAUUCAUUUCUCACACCUGCUGAUGAGAGGUUAACCUCCUUUUUCCUCCCACUGAGCUGUGGAUUGCACUAUGUCAGGCAGGACAUCUUAACCUGACUCUGCUCUGUGCUCAACUUUAAAACUGGGGGCGUAUUGAGUAAUCCUUUCUUUCCUUAAAAUCCAGGGUGAGUCGUGUUGAAGAACUCAUAGGCAGGUGCCUCAUUGCCCCUCAGUUGCUGAGCCCAGGGGGAAAGGCUCCGGCUGGGCAGGCCUGCGCUUGCCCUUCUUUCUGUUACUUACAAAUUGUGUGGUUUUGCAAAUUGGGCAACUUCUGCAGUUAGGCAAAUAGUUCGUACUUGCGGAGCAAAAUGUGUUCGACUUUUUCUGUUUAGGCUUAGAGAUGACUCACACGCGAAUCAGAGUUUGGGCAUUUCUGGUAAGGGGAAAGUUAUGGGAAAUUUGGAGGUGACGCUGAAGUCCCCUGGUAAUUAUUAUUAUUAUUUUUUAAAUAAUUUAUUUUUUAGUUAUAGGUGUACACAAUAUCUUUAUUUUAUUUUUAUGUGGUGCUGAGGAUCGAACCCCGUGCCUCAUGCAUGCUAGGCAAGUGCUCUACCUCUGAGCCACAACCCCAGCCCCCCAAUUUUUUUUAAUGUGGUGCUGAGGAUCGAACCAGGGUCCCGCCCGUGCUAGGCGAGCGCUCUACCGCUGAGUCACUUGUGAUAAGUAGCCACUAAGGGGGCUCCAGUGGCCCCUCGUUGGUGCUGCCCUUCCCUUUAGUUGAGGACUGUUCUUGCUUUCAACGUAGGAUGGGGCCUGCAUGAUAGCCCGUCACUUCUGAGAUUAGGUUACAAAAAGACUAGGAUUUCUGUCUUGCUCUCUGUCCUUUGUCUCAGCUUGAGCUGCUGAAACAAAACACCACAGACCGAGUGGCACGCACAGCAAACAUUUGGAAGUCCAGGAUCCAGGUCGCGCGGGAUUCGCUGUCUACUAAGGGCCUGGUUCAGUCCUUCAGUGUGUUCUGAGGUGGCAAGGUGGGAGGCACACGCUCUGGGCUUCUUGUGAGGACCUAAUCCAUUGGUGAGGGUUCCACCCUCAUGACCUCAUCUAAUCCCAAGAGCCUGGCUCCCAGUGGCCAUCACAGUAGGGGCAGAGAGUGGACAUUUAGCCCAGGGUACCCAUAAGCACAAAUGGGUAUGGAGGGCAAGGGUGGGAAGUAGACCUGAAUGGCGGAAUCUAUUGUCAAACACCUGACGUGGCUCAUUUUGGGGCAGAAAAUGGUGAUGGGCUAAAAGCAAGGGUCUGAGAUUUACAGGCUUCAUUUAGGGUGGGGCAGGAGGGUAGUCCCUGGGGUCCAUUAUAUCGGGUCCAUUAGGGUGAGGCAGGAGUGUGGACAGGGAAUUUCCUGGGGCUUAUUGUAUUGGGGUCAGCUGACCCAUUAGGGUGAGGGUCAGGUGCCAGUCUGGUGAGUUCCUUUUGUAUUCUCCCCAUUCGCUCUUCCUGCCCUCCCUCUGGCUGAGACCUGGGCUUUUAAUGACAAAAGCUUCCAUUUGACCCCAGUCAAGGGGGUUGGGGAACAGUUGCCGAUAGGGGAAAUGUCCUGGGACCUAUUUUCCCGUAUCCUCCAGUACUCUUGGGUCUUCUCUGUGGGUGAAGCCAGCUUCUGAGUUGGGAAUAGCUCUAGAAAAUGCCAAUCUGUGAGGGAACUGAAGUCUCUGGCCACUGCUAGCAAGGACCCCAGGCUUGCCCCGGGGUGACUUUGCAAGUGGAUUCCAUCACAGCUGAGCCUCAUGAUGAUUGCAGAGCUGGGGGACAGUUGGUUGCACCCUUAACCAGUGACUCAGCUGAGCCAACACAGACACUGUGAGGUAAGGACUGUUGUGUGAAACCACCAACUUCUGGGGUAAUUUGUUACACAGCAAUAGGAAACGAACACACCUGCCCAAGGUCACAGAGCUUGUAUGUGAAAAGAAAUGCAAAGAGUAGACCCUCUGCUUUUGCUCCCUGAAGUGAUUUUUAUCAUAAUGCUGCUUAAAUAGACAGAAUAAAUCUAGGAAUCCAAUCUUUGUGGACAUUGUUGUAUGUAGCUAUAAAAAGCCAGAAUGCCAACAACACCAGAGUUCAUGUUCUUAUUUUGACUUAAAUUCAUACCUUCAAAAUGGUAAUUUAAUGUGAUGGAAGAUGAAAUUUAAUGUGAUCAAAUGAAAUCAUGUAGUUUGGAAACAACCUCAGUGUCCAUCCACAGAAAAAUACACUACGCAAAGCCAUCGUACAGAACCCUCUACAGUGUGGAAAAGAUCUAAGACAGUUGUUGCAUGGAAGGUCCAAACUGCAGCCAGAAAACCCCGAAUGAUCCCCACGACACAAAAAGAACUGUGCUAACAGAACGUCUGCCUCUUUAUCUGUGGUUUAACAGGGCAGAGAGGGGCCUGGGAGACAGUAACUGAUGACAGUGAUUGGCAUGCAUGUGUGUGUGG
rnacentral:lncRNA from 1 species